AGAGUGUUAGUUCAGUUGGGAGAACGCCUGUCUUACAAACAGGAGGUCAACAGUUCGAAUCUGUUACACUCUA
rfam:Lingula anatina scaffold136, whole genome shotgun sequence.